GACGAACGCUGGCGGCGUGCUUAACACAUGCAAGUCGAACGGUGACGAGGAGCUUGCUCCUCUGAUCAGUGGCGAACGGGUGAGUAACACGUGAGUAACCUGCCCCAGACUCUGGAAUAACAGUUGGAAACAGCUGCUAAUACCGGAUACGAGACGGAGAGGCAUCUCUACCGUCUGGAAAGUUUUUCGGUCUGGGAUGGACUCGCGGCCUAUCAGCUUGUUGGUGAGGUAACGGCUCACCAAGGCGACGACGGGUAGCCGGCCUGAGAGGGCGACCGGCCACACUGGGACUGAGACACGGCCCAGACUCCUACGGGAGGCAGCAGUGGGGAAUAUUGGUCAAUGGACGAAAGUCUGAACCAGCCAUGCCGCGUGGAGGAUGAAGGUCCUCUGGAUUGUAAACUUCUUUUAUAUGGGACGAAAAAAGGGUUUUCUAACUCGUCUGACGGUACCAUAUGAAUAAGCACCGGCUAACUCCGUGCCAGCAGCCGCGGUAAUGUGUG
rnacentral:rRNA from 1 species